rnacentral:lncRNA from 1 species
UCCUCUAUCGAAGAUCUGGAGGUCUCUGAAUGGAAAGUAAUCGAUGUCUAACGAAAGAGGUUCGUUCAAUAUUACCACCACUGCCCGGAACCCUACGUCGAAAUCAUCUUUUCUUACACAGUGAAAAAAGAGUCUCCGGCCUUCUUCUACACUAUCAUCUUUCCAGCCAUAGUUGGGUUUUACUCGACCGUGUUGGGCUUGAUGGGCGUAUCUCUGCGGGGAUCUUCAUCGCCAUGGACAAUCUACGGAAACAGGAAUCUCAUCCAAAGCCAAUCUCACGGCUCCUCAGUUCCAUAACUAAUAUUAGGCUUGGACAAAACUUCUUAAAACCUUCUCCUUAUUCAACAUUAUUGGAUCCUGACGAUAGGAGUAAGUUUGGAGGCAUUAAAACGCCCAGUGGUAGUGCAACAGGGAUGCCAUCGAUGAUCUCAAACGAAAACCUGAUCGGGAAGAAAGGAAAGUCACAACCUUAUCCACUUUCCGCAAACCGAACUUUCUUAAAACCGAGCUCCAAUGAAUGGCGUUCCCUGGCUACGUUAUUUCAUAAAAUCUCUCAUUGCGCACAUUCUCAUGUACCUCAUCAUUUUGAUAAAGUGUUUUUACUAAAAGAAGAAAAAACAAACAAUUCAUGUUUUUUAUUUUCUGUUCUUUUACUUUGAUCCACCUACUCUUCAAAGGGAUCAGGGCAUAGAC